CAACAGUUCGUGUGGAAAAGUGUAUUCAAUAGUCAAAGAACCUGCAUCACGUAAAUUUGAUAUGAAAGAUGAGGUGAUAAUUACUAUUUUAACAUACUUGGAGCUGGGAGAAAUGCAAUAUUUGCGCUUACUUCCUCAGUUAAAUGUGACGUGCAUUUUGAAUUUUCAUAAGACUUCACCAGCGAUGCUUGCUGACAAAGAUAUCAUUGUUGCAGAAAUAUUGAAGAAGUCUGAAACUAAGCAAGGGCAGCAUGUUUUUGACAUGCUUACGGUGGUCAAUAAUAUUGGGAUUUCAGCUACCAGCCUCUCAAAUCAUUUGCACAAUCUCAAGUUGAAGGGAGAAGUAACAUACGAG
rnacentral:misc_RNA from 1 species